UACGUAGGGUGCAAGCGUUGUCCGGAAUUAUUGGGCGUAAAGAGCUUGUAGGCGGUUUGUCGCGUCUGCUGUGAAAUUUCGGGGCUCAACCCCGAACUUGCAGUGGGUACGGGCAGACUAGAGUGUGGUAGGGGAGACUGGAAUUCCUGGUGUAGCGGUGAAAUGCGCAGAUAUCAGGAGGAACACCGGUGGCGAAGGCGGUUCUCUGGGCAUGAUCUGACGCUGGAGGAGCGAAAGUGUGGGGAGCGAACAGG
rnacentral:rRNA from 1 species